AAAAUCUCAGCCCAAUCGUCCACCACGGGUCCACGGGCCACCUCCGUCGUUCCCCACCCGUCUCCCUCGCGUUCCUCUCGUCCGUACGCCGCCGCUGCCGCCUGGCUCGCACCGCCGCCUUACGCCAGGUGCCGAGGCCCUCGCCGAUCUCUUAGCCGGCAAAGAGUGGCCACUAGAUCCGCUCCUGAUGGACAACGUCGAGUCUGCCCCUGACUCGCCGGCGCAGGCGCCGCCGUCAUCCGCCUCUUCUCUCCCCAAGGAACAAUCGCAGGUGGAGUUGGAGCUGAGGCUGCUUCAGGCUCUCGAGUUCUACCCUCCAUCAAAACUCAAAGGCAUUCAUCGGCACUUUGUUCUCUAUGGCCUCAUGGAAUUUUUGCGAAAAAGCCUUGAUCGGCAAUUCUCUCCUGAUGAAGUUUUACAACUCUUGGACCGCUUCUUUAACCUAGAAAUGCUGUUUCACAUUCGUAUGGAAAUUCUACAGUUGGGUCGCGACUCACAAGUUUUACUUAUGAUGAUCUUAUGACGAUUAAUAAAAUGAAGAAACCAGAGGACGAUGAAAAGGACAACUUCAGUCAGGGGGAAGAAUUUUCCUUGCCAGAGAGUUUUCUCAACAAGGAAGAAUAAUAGCAAGUAGUAGCUUGGUAAUUUCAUAGGAGGUACUUUGGGCGUCGUCUGGAAGAGAGAUCAGAACGCUGGUUUCCCACUUUUUCUAGUAGCAUUGUCGUCCAGAACAUCGGUUGCGAGGAGACACUGAACACUGAAGUAAAAAAACACAUUUCCUAAGCUGUGGUUGUGUUUACUGGCUGUACAUCUUUUGUUCACUUCUAGUGUAAUCGAUGGGCCUGUUCAGUUCCUCAUUUGAGGCAAAAAAAAAAAAAGUUUGGGUUUUGGU